GCGAGCGGCGGACGGGUGAGUAACACGUGGGUAACCUGCCCAAGAGACUGGGAUAACACCUGGAAACAGAUGCUAAUACCGGAUAACAACACUAGACGCAUGUCUAGAGUUUGAAAGAUGGUUCUGCUAUCACUCUUGGAUGGACCUGCGGUGCAUUAGCUAGUUGGUAAGGUAACGGCUUACCAAGGCAAUGAUGCAUAGCCGAGUUGAGAGACUGAUCGGCCACAUUGGGACUGAGACACGGCCCAAACUCCUACGGGAGGCAGCAGUAGGGAAUCUUCCACAAUGGACGAAAGUCUGAUGGAGCAACGCCGCGUGAGUGAAGAAGGGUUUCGGCUCGUAAAGCUCUGUUGGUAGUGAAGAAAGAUAGAGGUAGUAACUGGCCUUUAUUUGACGGUAAUUACUUAGAAAGUCACGGCUAACUACGUGCCAGCAGCCGCGGUAAUGCGUAGGUGGCAAGCGUUGUCCGGAUUUAUUGGGCGUAAAGCGAGUGCAGGCGGUUCAAUAAGUCUGAUGUGAAAGCCUUCGGCUCAACCGGAGAAUUGCAUCAGAAACUGUUGAACUUGAGUGCGGAAGAGGAGAGUGGAACUCCAUGUGUAGCGGUGGAAUGCGUAGAUAUAUGGAAGAACACCAGUGGCGAAGGCGGCUCUCUGGUCUGCAACUGACGCUGAGGCUCGAAAGCAUGGGUAGCGAACAGGAUUAGAUACCCUGGUAGUCCAUGCCGUAAACGAUGAGUGCUAAGUGUUGGGAGGUUUCCGCCUCUCAGUGCUGCAGCUAA
rnacentral:rRNA from 1 species